rnacentral:rRNA from 1 species
GAAUAUUGGACAAUGGGCGAAAGCCUGAUCCAGCAAUGCCGCGUGAGUGAUGAAGGCCUUAGGGUUGUAAAGCUCUUUUACCCGGGAUGAUAAUGACAGUACCGGGAGAAUAAGCUCCGGCUAACUCCGUGCCAGCAGCCGCGGUAAUACAGAGGGGGCUAGCGUUGUUCGGAAUUACUGGGCGUAAAGGGCGCGUAGGUGGCCUGUUAAGUCGAACGUGAAAUCCCCGGGCUCAACCCGGGAACUGCGUCCGAGACUGGCAGGCUCGAAUCCGGGAGAGGGAUGUGGAAUUCCAGGUGUAGCGGUGAAAUGCGUAGAUAUCUGGAGGAACACCGGUGGCGAAGGCGGCAUCCUGGACCGGUAUUGACGCUGAGGCGCGAAAGCCAGGGGAGCAAACGGG